UACAGAGGGGGCGAGCGUUAUUCGGAAUUAUUGGGCGUAAAGGGCGCGUAGGCGGCUAAGUAAGUCUCGGGUGAAAUCCCUCGGCUCAACCGAGGAACUGCCUUGGAAACUGCUUGGCUUGAGGCCGGGAGAGGAUGGUGGAAUUCCCAGUGUAGCGGUGAAAUGCGUAGAUAUUGGGAGGAACACCGGUGGCGAAGGCGGCCAUCUGGACCGGUCCUGACGCUGAGGCGCGAAAGCGUGGGGAGCAAACAGGGAUUAAGAAACCCCGAGUACGUC
rnacentral:rRNA from 1 species